UACGUAGGGGGCAAGCGUUGUCCGGAUUUACUGGGUAUAAAGGGAGCGCAGGCGGACUUGUCAGUCAGGGGUGAAAUCCUACAGCUUAACUGUAGAACUGCCUUUGAUACUGCAAGUCUUGAGAUCGGAAGAGAGAGACGGAAUUCCAGGUGUAGUGGUGAAAUACGUAGAUAUCUGGAAGAACACCAAUGGCGAAGGCAGUCUCUUGGUCCGUAUCUGACGCUGAGGCUCGAAAGCGUGGGGAGCAAACAGG
rnacentral:rRNA from 1 species